AUAAAACAAAGCAUUAAAUAAUAAUUAAAGAACCUGAAUGAGUUAAACAAUAGUCUUGAACACUCCACCACAAGCCGGUAGGAUUUGUUCUUGGAUUCUUCAAUUAAACAACAAAUUAAAACGAAGGAAAUAAAACUAGAUUCUAACGUAAGGUUAGAUCCGGUAAAAAGGUGCACAAUAGUUUCCGGUGUAGAAACUAUUGUGCGAAAAGAAUUAACUAAAUGCUAAAAAGGAAAAAGGAAAAUAGAAAUUGCAAGGGAGAUAGUGUAGAACUCGUAAAAAUAAUAAAGAAACAAUACUGCUUAAGUUGCUGGAAAAGAAAAUGUGCAAAAGCGAAAACGGCAAAGGAAAAAAUGUGGAAAAGCUUCGGAACCCUUUUUGGUUUUGCAAGUGGCUAUUUAUAUAUGCUUGAGUAACCGCUUCCGCUGCCAAAAAGGUCUUCAACGUGCAUAAAAGCAUGGCGUGGAUAUAGGGCUCAACACUCCCUCAACGCUCAACGUCUCUGAGGCGUUCCUUGCGCCAAAAAUGUAGGGGAAUGGUGUGACGUUCGUCACACCAUGUGUGACGUCCGUCACAGGAGUGUGCAAGGCGUGACGCUCGUCACGCCCUCUGUGACGUCCGUCACAUGCACGGCACCUGCGUUUUGUGCUUUGGGCUGGGCUUUGACAUUUGGUUCAUUUUCUCUCCUUUUUGCACCUCCUUUUCUUCCAUUUUUACUUGUGCUUCAAAAUAAGCCACCUGAGACAAAUAGGAAGAAAAU
rnacentral:lncRNA from 1 species